UCAGGUGAUAGCAAGAAGCAGAAUCUU
rnacentral:piRNA from 1 species